rnacentral:rRNA from 1 species
GACGAACGCUGGCGGCGUGCUUAACACAUGCAAGUCGAACGGAAAGGCCCUGCUUUUGUGGGGUGCUCGAUUGGCGAACGGGUGAGUAACACGUGAGUAACCUGCCCUUGACUUUGGGAUAACUUCAGGAAACUGGGGCUAAUACCGGAUAGGAGCUCCUGCUGCAUGGUGGGGGUUGGAGAGUUUCGGCGGUAGGGGAUGGACUCGCGGCUUAUCAGCUGGUUGGUGGGGUAGUGGCUUACCAAGGCUUUGACGGAUAGCCGGCAUGAGAGGGGGAACGGGCUCAUGGGGACUGCGGUACGGAGCAGAAUGGUAUGGGAGGCAGCGGGCGAGAGCAUUACGCAGUGGGCGGACGCCUGAUGCGGAAGCGCCGCGUGCGGGAUAACGGCCUUCGAGUUGUGAACCGCUUUCGCCUGUGACGAAGCGAGAGUGACGGUAAUGGGUAAAGAAGCACCGGCUAACUACGUG